CAGUCGAGCGGACAGAUGGGAGCUUGCUCCCUGAUGUUAGCGGCGGACGGGUGAGUAACACGUGGGUAACCUGCCUGUAAGACUGGGAUAACUCCGGGAAACCGGGGCUAAUACCGGAUGGUUGUUUGAACCGCAUGGUUCAAACAUAAAAGGUGGCUUCGGCUACCACUUACAGAUGGACCCGCGGCGCAUUAGCUAGUUGGUGAGGUAACGGCUCACCAAGGCAACGAUGCGUAGCCGACCUGAGAGGGUGAUCGGCCACACUGGGACUGAGACACGGCCCAGACUCCUACGGGAGGCAGCAGUAGGGAAUCUUCCGCAAUGGACGAAAGUCUGACGGAGCAACGCCGCGUGAGUGAUGAAGGUUUUCGGAUCGUAAAGCUCUGUUGUUAGGGAAGAACAAGUACCGUUCGAAUAGGGCGGUACCUUGACGGUACCUAACCAGAAAGCCACGGCUAACUACGUGCCAGCAGCCGCGGUAAUACGUAGGUGGCAAGCGUUGUCCGGAAUUAUUGGGCGUAAAGGGCUCGCAGGCGGUUUCUUAAGUCUGAUGUGAAAGCCCCCGGCUCAACCGGGGAGGGUCAUUGGAAACUGGGGAACUUGAGUGCAGAAGAGGAGAGUGGAAUU
rnacentral:rRNA from 1 species